rnacentral:rRNA from 1 species
AUACGAAGGGGGCAAGCGUUGUCCGGAAUUACUGGGCGUAAAGAGCUCGUAGGCGGCUCAGCAAGUCGGUCGUGAAAGCCCGAGGCUCAACCUCGGAACUGCGGUCGAUACUGCUGUGGCUAGAGUCCGGUAGAGGAGAGUGGAAUUCCCGGUGUAGCGGUGGAAUGCGCAGAUAUCGGGAGGAACACCAGUGGCGAAGGCGGCUCUCUGGGCCGGUACUGACGCUGAGGAGCGAAAGCGUGGGGAGCAAACAGGAUUAGAAACCCCUGGUAGUCC